UACGUAGGGGGCUAGCGUUGUCCGGAAUCAUUGGGCGUAAAGAGCGUGUAGGCGGUCCGGUAAGUCCGCUGUGAAAGUCGGGGGCUCAACCCUCGAAUGCCGGUGGAUACUGUCGGGCUAGAGUGCGGAAGAGGCGAGUGGAAUUCCCGGUGUAGCGGUGAAAUGCGCAGAUAUCGGGAGGAACACCAAUUGCGAAGGCAGCUCGCUGGGACGUUUACUGACGCUGAGACGCGAAAGCGUGGGGAG
rnacentral:rRNA from 1 species